rnacentral:rRNA from 1 species
UACGUAGGGGGCGAGCGUUGUCCGAAGUUACUGGGCGUAAAGCGCACGUAGGUGGCCCGUUAAGUUACAUCUCAAAGGCAACAGCUCAACUGUUGAGAGUGGUGUAAGACUGGCAGGCUUGAGGCGAGCAGAAGAAUGUGGAACUCCGAGUGUAGCGGUGGAAUGCGUAGAGAUUCGGAAGAACACCCAAGGCGAAGGCAGCAUUCUGGGCUCGAAAGAGUAGAGGAAGACUCCAGCGGGAGAUUAGCCUUCGGGCUAAUGGACCAAGGAGAGGGACUUUAUUCAGCCUGACACUGAGGAGCGAAAGCCAGGGGAGCGAACGGG